rnacentral:rRNA from 1 species
GCAAGUCGAGCGAGCACUUCGGUGUUAGCGGCGGACGGGUGAGUAAUGCUUGCGGAUGUACCUCACGGUACUGGACAACGUCUGGAAACGGGCGCUAAUACGGUAUACGCACUAAGGUGGAAAGAAUUUCGCCGUGAGAUCAUUCCAAGUCGGAUUAGCUAGUUGUGGGGGUAAUGGCUUCACAAGGCGAUGAUCCGUAGCUGGUCUGAGAGGACGAUC